CCCCUCUCAGGAUCACACCUGGAGAGUUUCUACUACUUUUUCAGUCUCGGCUAUGGGAGGGAGAGUUAAGCAGAGGCAUACCCAUCCCAUUCCUAGCUUGGGCAGUGGCAAGUGACUGGAAAGCAAUCUGCUACAAGU